rnacentral:misc_RNA from 1 species
UGCAUUUUUUGUGUACCUAUAUAUAUGCAGUUUAAUCGGUUUACUUAUUAUUAAUAACAUACCUAAUACGAUAUAAUCCAACUGCAGUAACAUGAAGCAUAUAAUAUUAUUUACUUUUUUAAUUUUGGCGGUUGCACAGAUUCAUUGCCAAGAUGAAUUUGCAGAUAUUUGUGGCCCAAAUGCAAGAUUUGUAUCCUGCAAGUCAUGUUGUGAAACUAAUCUU